CAUCUCGUUCAACGCGCUUUGUCGUUGCUUAUUGACGAAGCUCUCGUGUUACCUGAGCACCGCCGUUGUCUGCGUUCGUUCUCCGCUCGAAACCCUAACCCUAAUUUUUCCAUCUCUCCGUCGCUCUGGUUCUCUUGGCUUCAUCAAGUCUCUGCCUCCGCAAAACGAUGGCGGCUAAACCACUUUCAAGUGAGGCAAUAGCCAUGACAGAGAAGAAAAUGGACAUGACACUAGAUGAUAUCAUCAAAAUGUCCAAAAACAAUACAUCAAAAGCUAAGAAGCAAAGAGUUUCAAAUAGAAGCCAAAAAUUUAAUAACGCUGCCCAAGAAAAGUCUAAUAAAGUACUAAGGUUUAUGGAGACAAGGUCCUCACUCAGACAGGGCACUCUUGCUAGGAGGAGGUCAAAUUUCCAGGGAAAUCAAUUUCCCUUGGCAGCUGAGGCUGCACGAAAGGCUGCGGUUGCUCCUAUUCGCAACAGAGCCUUUAAUCGAGGCAGGGGGUAUAAUGUGAAUAAACCAAGGUAAACAAUGGCCCUUCUUUAUUGUUGAUGGCUAGCAAUAUGGUUGGUUAAUAGUUGUUAAGUUGCAUUAUUGUUCGGGGAACUAUUGUAUUUGGUUUGAGCUGCAAGCUUAAGAUGUGGGAUUCUUUCAAUUGCUUGCUGUGCAUACUCCAUGCAUAAAGAAUGUCUGCAUCAAGCUUUAUUUGUGGUUUAUAUGGUUGGGAAAUUAAGUUGAGCAAGUGCAUAUUGCAUUAGAAUAUGGCUGUCCAACGUGAGUUGGGGUGUUACUGUUUGCAUUGGCUUUUGAGGCAGAGCAAGAUCUUCAAAGGAAAGGGAUUUGAAUAAAUGAUGGUUAAGCAAGCGUGGCUGAAAGUUAUCAUAACUUCCAUUUAAGUGGCUCACUUUAUGGUUUGCUAAGUGCUUUCCUGUUUUGUGGUUGUUAACCGGAUAGUACAGUAGAGGCCCAGUGGGGAAGGUUAUAAUUGCUAGCAGUAGAGGUGGGGUUAUUAUUUGUUUUCCUGGCAUGGAGUUAUUGUUCCAUGUGUUGUUGAUGCUCAAGGAAGCAUUUCUUUCUGCUCAGUGACGUAUUUGGCUUUUUUGUUGUGACAGUAGGCUGCCUAUUUUUCUGGCACGUGAAAGUCCAGUGGACUGCACUCACUUAAAUUUUUACUCCAAGUGACCUAUCUGGCAUACAGUCCUCCAUUGGUGGAGUGUGUUUUGUUUCCUGAAUUUGAAGUUACUGAUGUUGGAAUAACAUGGCUUCUCUCUUUUAACAUUUUACUGUAUCAUGCUGCACGUUCAUUUUGAAUUUGCCCAGUCUUAGUACCAGCAACCACCUGAGAAUAUCUUGCUGCAGUUCAGUUUCUGUUGCCAAGCAUGUAGAUAAACUGUUCACCUGCUUUGAAGUGCCUUCAAGUGGAAUUGUUACCCUUUCCUUGGUUGAUCGUGUGGGUUUCUUUGAGUUGUUACUGACCGUGAGCUUAAGAUCUGUAAUCUACAUAUGUUGCCACUGUGCUCGAUAUGAUUAAGGUUAAAUUUUGGGGUUGGAUGAGGGUAAAAAUAAUACACUAUCACAUUCCUUUGAUUUACUGGACGCUACUGGUUGGCAGCUGCAGCUGUGUUGCUUUGAUACAUACUUUUAGUUGAGGUAAUCGUAAUUGAAGAUGUUAUGUCUUUGGCCCGUCAAAGCAGUUUUGGCUUAUGUGGGUCAUGUUUGGAAGUUGUUCGGGAGUUCCUGAACAUGAGCUUACAUAUCUAAUGGUCACUGUGCUCGAGAUGAUAAGGGGGAAAACUUUGGGGGUUGGAUGAGGGUAAAUAGUAAUAUACAGUGUUUCACAUUCUUGGUUUACAGUAUAUCACUGGUUGGCAGCCACAGCCGUAGUGCCUUGUUAUAUACUUCUAUACAAGUUAAUCUUAAUUGAAGAUUUUACAUCACUAGCCUGUCAUAGCUGAUGUGGCUUAUGCGGGUAUGUGUUUUGGUUUGUGCUUGUUGGCUUGUUUUGGAUGGGGUUCAGGAGUGCAUCUCCUGUUAAAUUGGAUUGCUGAAGGGAAAAUGAGCUUAUUGUUUUCCUUGGUUCUGUUGCUCCGGAGAAGUUUUUGUUCUCCAAGCUUUAGUUCCAGUGGAAUCAUUUUGGCACGACUAACUUCGGAUUACACAUUCAAUUAGAGGGGGAUGAAUUAUAGCAAACUGUCUGAAGAUAUCCAAUUUCCCUUUAUGUUCUUGAAAUGGUUUGUCUUGUCUUUCAGUUGGAAUUAAAUAGAAUAUGCAGUGGUAAGCAUCUCAGUCGCUCUUUUACAUGCUGAUAUGGUCUUGAACAACUACAUAAUAGCUUAUGAUUGGGUAUUUGGAUGGUGCUCAUUCCUAUACAAGAGGUUCUGUAUUUCAAGAUACUUAUAUGUUGUCUCAUUUAGUUGUAGUUAACUCUCUCUUUGCAGGUUUGUUGGUCGACCGGUGCAGAGGAAUGUCUCAAAUGGGAGCUUUACAAUAAAGCAGCACCCUCAGCCACAAGUGAACAUGACCCCUAAGCAGAGACCCCAAACUCUGGACUCGCUAUUUGCAAACAUGAAGGAGCAGAGGAUGAGAGUUUUUUCUCAACAAAACAAUGCUGGAAGAAGAAUCGGAGGUGGCCAGCGAAGACAGCAG